ensembl:lncRNA
AGGAACACUUCCUUGUAAAGUUCACGUCCUGAAAAGAUGUUGGAUUUUUGAAUCCAUUAUUCAACAGGGUUGUUCUUAAAUGCAGUUUUGAUUCACUGGAUCCUCUGUAGUGAAUGGGUGCCGUCAGAUGCUUGAUAUUUCUCUCCCGAUUCACACAAUACUUUUUCACAGGAGUGAUUUGCUUCAUUUUUGCAUUUAAUCAGCUGUGUUUUGUGAUUUUUAGUUGGUGUAUGAAGGCAGCUGAACUAUGUUCCAUAAAUGUUUCAUAAACACAAAGUGGUUUUUAUUUCAAACACUUUAUCUAUUGUUUUAACAUUUAAAAUGGUACAAACUUCAAGGUAUGCUUAUGGUUAUGCAAUCCCAGUUUACAAAUAUAUGUUGUAAUGUUCCCAUUAAUUUAUGAAAACAAUAUUUCUGAAUUGUUCUCUAAACAUUUAAAAAAAUGUUCAGUUUUUUAAAUGUUUUGAAUUUUCUUUUUUUCUUGGUUGCAUAAACGUUAAGGAAAUAUUACAUUUUAUUGUUUGUAAACAUUCUGUAAACAAAUUUAAAAUGUCUAAUGAAUGUAGUGCUCAACACUGAUUACUGUCAGACUUCUUCACUUGAAUUAAGAUUAUAAUAAUUUAAUUUUAAAGCACAGCCACCACAAAGUCAGACUUUAGCAACUCUUUUUACUUUGAGGUCAUUAUGAGGUUAAAUACGGAUUUAAAAUCAUAAGUUAGUUUAAUAGUUAUAAGCAUGUGUCAUAUUCUGUGUUGUCAACUCCUGAAACAUUGGUGUCUCAUAUUUUAGAGUAGUCAACGCAAUUUGGGAAAGAAAUCAAUCAAAUCUGUAUGUAUUUUUGUAUUUUUAGCUGUAAUUUAAUUACACAUUACACACAACAGAUUACAGGUAAUUAAAUUACGUAAUUCCGUUACAUGUGACCAGUACUCCCCAACUCUACCUGUGCGUCCAAAUGUGUCCAAAUGUGUCGGGGGUCUCUCGUUUUGUACAGUGUCUCGGCUGUAGCUCCUCUGUCCGGUAGAGGGCGCGCUCUCCCGCUGCAGUUCUCGGUCUGUCCGUGCGGCGGCGCUGUGAGGCCGGUCCCGCUGGAACACGUCCGUGAGUGUGAGUCCCGGGGGCUGGAGCGCAGGAUGGCGGCGGUCGGUGCUGCUGCUGCUGAGGCCGAGUCGUCGGACAGUGAGCCGGAGCAGGAGCACGGAUCCCCGCAGAAGCUCAUUCGGAAGGUCUCCACGUCCGGUCAGAUCCGGAGCAAGAUGCACUAUUCCUUGAAGUCUACGGGAAGUGCGCAUUAGGGUAGCACUAACGCACGGGUGGCCAAAGGCUCCUCUGCAACAAGGCCGGCCUGUAAACGACUCUGUGGCUCUGGGCUGAAUUCUGAGAAGCGGAAGGCGUGUGUCUCGCCCCUGUACUGUCAUCACGUCUCUGUGGUGGGGUUGUGAAAGGAGAAAGGUCACGGUUCAGAUCGGUCACGGCCUCUUUGAGUCUGAUCAGUCAGAGGUGAGAUGAAAGCGUUCGCUACAGUAACCGCAGGCAUCUGACCGCUGAAAGGUCACGUUUGACCAGCAGAUGAAUCAGUAAUGUUGAUGAUUUCAGUGUGUUAGUUUCGGAGUUAAAUCCAUGGUUUACUGAGAGUAAAAACACUAUGAGGUAGAGUUUUCACAGCUGCGAUUCGAGGACCCCUCGGCCCUUCAUCAGACGGAUCGCUGUCACACAGCUGCAAGCUGUAAAUCUAGAGGACUCUUGGACACUUGAUUCUUGCAAUAAUCAUCUAUAUUUACAUUUAAAUUACAUUAUUUAGGAAAUCCUUUGGAUAAAUGACUUCGUAAACUCACACUCAGACCAUCCGAGAUCAGGAUGAGUUUUUUCCUUCAUCAGGUUUGUAGAAAUGUAGCACUGCAUCAGUGUCUCAGCAAUGGAUGCUCUGUAGUGAAUGGGUGCCGUCAGAAUGAGAGUCCAAACAGCUGAUAAAAGCUUAUAAAAAGCUCAAAAGUUAUACAGUACAAUCAGUGCAAACAUUUUCGUGUAAAUAUAGUCUUUAUAUACUGUAAAUAGUGUUUCUGUGUGGUGUACCGCACA